AGCAAUAUGAAGGCCAGGCUGAAGACUUUGCCGGAUUAGCUGAGAGGUGGUGCAUGGCCGUCGUCAGUUCGUACUGUGAAGCAUCCUGUUAAGUCAGGCAACGAGCGAGACCCACGCCCACAGUUGCCAGCGUACUCUCUGGAGUGACGGGUACACUGUGGGGACCGCCGCUGCUAAAGCGGAGGAAGGAAUGGGCAACGGUAGGUCAGUAUGCCCCGAAUAUCCCGGGCUACACGCGAGCUACAAUGGUUGGUACAAUGGGUAUCUACCCCGAAAGGGGACGGGAAUCUCCUAAAACCAAUCUUAGUUCGGAUUGAGGGCUGCAACUCGCCCUCAUGAAGCUGGAAUCCGUAGUAAUCGUGUCUCAAAAUGGCACGGUGAAUAUGUCCCUGCUCCUU
rnacentral:rRNA from 1 species